GCCGGGAGUUAGUGGCGUGCUCCUGUAAUCCAGCUACUUGGAGGCCGGGUGCAGCGGAUGACUGAUCGUGUAAUUCCGCCGGCUUACAGAGUAUUUAGAGACUUGUUCUCGAUGCGCGGCGGUUGAGAGCCGUUUUCUCCGGUCGCAGACGAAGAGUCAGACCUGUACCUUA
rnacentral:SRP_RNA from 1 species